AGCAGGUGCCUCCGAGUUCUGACACAGGAGCAUCACCUCUCAGGAGGGGCCAGGAUCAGGUGCUUAAGGCGCCUUUUCAGCUGCUGCCACAAGGUGGCCCCCCAGCAAGGCCCAGAGCAGCCCGUGGCGCCAGUUCUGCUGCGGUUCGCCAUCCCUUCCCCAGGGGUGAGUAUUGGAGAAAACAAGAGC